rnacentral:rRNA from 1 species
AUGAGACAUGUAGAGAUGUGCGGGUGCGAGCGCUUCUUUUUCCACCGGAGCUUGCUCCACCGGAAAAAGAGGAGUGGCGAACGGGUGAGUAACACGUGGGUAACCUGCCCAUCAGAAGGGGAUAACACUUGGAAACAGGUGCUAAUACCGUAUAACAAUCGAAACCGCAUGGUUUUGAUUUGAAAGGCGCUUUCGGGUGUCGCUGAUGGAUGGACCCGCGGUGCAUUAGCUAGUUGGUGAGGUAACGGCUCACCAAGGCGACGAUGCAUAGCCGACCUGAGAGGGUGAUCGGCCACAUUGGGACUGAGACACGGCCCAAACUCCUACGGGAGGCAGCAGUAGGGAAUCUUCGGCAAUGGACGAAAGUCUGACCGAGCAACGCCGCGUGAGUGAAGAAGGUUUUCGGAUCGUAAAACUCUGUUGUUAGAGAAGAACAAGGAUGAGAGUAACUGUUCAUCCCUUGACGGUAUCUAACCAGAAAGCCACGGCUAACUACGUGCCAGCAGCCGCGGUAAUACGUAGGUGGCAAGCGUUGUCCGGAUUUAUUGGGCGUAAAGCGAGCGCAGGCGGUUUCUUAAGUCUGAUGUGAAAGCCCCCGGCUCAACCGGGGAGGGUCAUUGGAAACUGGGAGACUUGAGUGCAGAAGAGGAGAGUGGAAUUCCAUGUGUAGCGGUGAAAUGCGUAGAUAUAUGGAGGAACACCAGUGGCGAAGGCGGCUCUCUGGUCUGUAACUGACGCUGAGGCUCGAAAGCGUGGGGAGCAAACAGGAUUAGAUACCCUGGUAGUCCACGCCGUAAACGAUGAGUGCUAAGUGUUGGAGGGUUUCCGCCCUUCAGUGCUGCAGCUAACGCAUUAAGCACUCCGCCUGGGGAGUACGACCGCAAGGUUGAAACUCAAAGGAAUUGACGGGGGCCCGCACAAGCGGUGGAGCAUGUGGUUUAAUUCGAAGCAACGCGAAGAACCUUACCAGGUCUUGACAUCCUUUGACCACUCUAGAGAUAGAGCUUCCCCUUCGGGGGCAAAGUGACAGGUGGUGCAUGGUUGUCGUCAGCUCGUGUCGUGAGAUGUUGGGUUAAGUCCCGCAACGAGCGCAACCCUUAUUGUUAGUUGCCAUCAUUUAGUUGGGCACUCUAGCAAGACUGCCGGUGACAAACCGGAGGAAGGUGGGGAUGACGUCAAAUCAUCAUGCCCCUUAUGACCUGGGCUACACACGUGCUACAAUGGGAAGUACAACGAGUCGCAAAGUCGCGAGGCUAAGCUAAUCUCUUAAAGCUUCUCUCAGUUCGGAUUGUAGGCUGCAACUCGCCUACAUGAAGCCGGAAUCGCUAGUAAUCGCGGAUCAGCACGCCGCGGUGAAUACGUUCCCGGGCCUUGUACACACCGCCCGUCACACCACGAGAGUCCGUAACACCCGAAGUCGGUGACGCAAACUCCAACCCGCCCCGAUAGCCUAAC